AGUGAACGCUGGCGGUAGGCCUAACACAUGCAAGUCGAACGGCAGCACAGUAAGAGCUUGUUCUUACGGGUGGCGAGUGGCGGACGGGUGAGGAAUACAUCGGAAUCUACUUUUUCGUGGGGGAUAACGUAGGGAAACUUACGCUAAUACCGCAUACGACCUACGGGUGAAAGCAGGGGAUCUUCGGACCUUGCGCGAUUGAAUGAGCCGAUGUCGGAUUAGCUAGUUGGCGGGGUAAAGGCCCACCAAGGCGACGAUCCGUAGCUGGUCUGAGAGGAUGAUCAGCCACGCUGGAACUGAGACACGGUCCAGACUCCUACGGGAGGCAGCAGUGGGGAAUAUUGGACAAUGGGCGCAAGCCUGAUCCAGCCAUACCGCGUGGGUGAAGAAGGCCUUCGGGUUGUAAAGCCCUUUUGUUGGGAAAGAAAAGCAGCAGGUUAAUACCCCGCUGUUCUGACGGUACCCAAAGAAUAAGCACCGGCUAACUUCGUG
rnacentral:rRNA from 1 species